rnacentral:misc_RNA from 1 species
GAUGAAGAACGUAGCGAAAUGCGAUAAGUAAUGUGAAUUGCAGAAUUCAGUGAAUCAUCGAAUCUUUGAACGCACAUUGCGCCCAUUAGUAUUCUAGUGGGCAUGCCUGUUCGAGCGUCAUUAAGUCCACUUAAGCCCUACUUAGUGUUGGGAGACUGCUCCAGCGGUGCUACCCUGUAGCUACCCUGCAGCUCCUCAAAGACAGCGGCGGAGUUGUGGUAUCCUCUGAGCUUAGUAACUUGUUCUAGCUUUCGAGUACACCACUUCCCCUGCCGUAAAACCCUUAAUUUUUAAUGGUUGACCUCGGAUCAGGUAGGAAUACCCGCUGAACUUAAGCAUAUCAAUAAGCGGAGGA